UGCGUAGGCGGUUAUAUUAGUCGGGUGUAAAUCCUGGGGCUCAACCUCAGGCUCGCAUUCGAAACGGUAUAACUAGAAGACGUGAGAGGUGAACAGAACUCUCGGUGUAGGGGUGAAAUCCGUUGAUAUCGAGGGAAUACCAAAUGCGAAGGCAGUUCACUGGCGCGUUCUUGACGCUGAGGCACGAAAGCGUGGGUAGCGAAC
rnacentral:rRNA from 1 species